CAGCCCUAAAAAGNAAAAAAAAAAAAAAAAAAAAAGCCAGAAAGAAGAAGAAGAGAGGGAGAGAAAUAUCCUGGCCUUUCCUUUUCUCCUUAUCUUUCCGUCUUUCAGAAACCAGCUCAUAGUGAGCAUGAGCAAGACGGCUCACAGAGGUCAAGCCCCCUGCAGUCCAGAGCAGAGCAGUGGAAGGGCAAAGAAUGGAUUUGAGGGCAAAAUCAUAUAGCUCAUCCCUUUUGCUACUCAGCAUUCAAGUUCACCCUUCUGCCCAUGUUUAAUACCGUCAUACUUCUGCCUGUCAUGCAGUGACACUCUCCCCUUCUCCCCAAACAAGAUGAGGGACUUAAAGUCCCAUUAGUCAUUGUCUCCUUCUGGACUUCAAAAUCCACUGGUGAGCCUCCCUCCUCUCCCGAAGGCCCAGAAUGUGACGUUCUGUAGCCUGGUGACCUACUGAACUAAAUUUUAAAUGAAGUUCCACCAACACUCCAUACAAAACUGUAGAAGGAAGGGAAGGGAGAAGAGUAGAAAUCAUUGGGUAAUAAGUACAUAACAAAAAUAUGUAUUAGUACUUUGUAUAAUAUGUAUAUAGUCUUUGUUGUUGUAAAAAGGUUAUAGUUGAUAGUGAUCACUUCCCUCUUCUACCACUCAGUCUAUAUUUCCUUUGUUUUCAGCUAGCUCUGCAGGUGGUUGGGGUUCUUUACAUCACAGAGUGACUGUCAGGAUAUAUUCACAAGAACAGAAAACAUACUUGGCUUUCCAAGAGAGAAUUGAAUAGAAGGACUUGGUUAAGCAGUUUUGGAGAACUGAAAAAGCCAAAAAGGGGAUACCGAGCUAACCCAGAGGACCUGUCUAUUGUAAGUUCCUUCCCGUAUGACUGGAGCAAGCCAGAACGUUCUCUGUUGAACAGUCAAGAAAUAAAUUAAACAGGUACCACUUUAUUAUGACAGGAAAAUUUAUUGUCCAAGUGAUAAUAGCUAAUGAUUAUCAAGUACUUAAUAUGUGCUAGUCAUGGUGAUUAAGUGCUUUCCAUUACUCAUUUAAUCCUUGAAUUGUCCUAUAACGUAAGUACUAUUAUUAUCCAUGUUUUCAAAUGAGGAAAUUUAGGCACAGAUUGGUUGAGUGAUUUGCUUAGUAUCACACAGCUAAUAAAUGGCAGUCAGGGCUCUAUAUCA
rnacentral:lncRNA from 1 species